UACGUAGGCAGCAAGCGUUGUUCGGAGUUACUGGGCGUAAAGGGUGUGUAGGCGGUUCCUUAAGUUUGCUGUGAAAUCUCCCGGCUUAACCGGGAGGGUGCGGUGAAUACUGAGGGACUAGAGUACGGGAGAGGAAAGUGGAAUUCCUGGUGUAGCGGUGAAAUGCGUAGAUAUCAGGAGGAACACCGGUGGUGUAGACGGCUUUCUGGACCGUAACUGACGCUGAGACACGAAAAGCGUGGGGUAGCAAACAGG
rnacentral:rRNA from 1 species